rnacentral:tRNA from 1 species
CUAGCUAAAGAGGACCACCUCCUCCUUAAUGG